UGAAGUUAAAGNCAUUGGCUCAACCAAUGUAUGCUUUGGAAACUGUUAGACUUGAGUGCAGAAGGGGAGAGUGGAAUNCCAUGUGUAGCGGUGAAAUGCGUAGAUAUAUGGAGGAACACCGGUGGCGAAAGCGGCUCUCUGGUCUGUCACUGACGCUGAGGCUCGAAAGCGUGGGUAGCGAACAGGAUUAGAUACCCUGGUAGUNCACGCCGUAAACGAUGGGUGCUAGGUGUUAGGUCCUUUCCGGGACUUAGUGCCGCAGCUAACGCAAUAAGCACUCCGCCUGGGGAGUACGACCGCAAGGUUGAAACUCAAAGGAAUUGACGGGGGCCCGCACAAGCGGUGGAGCAUGUGGUUUAAUUCGAAGCAACGCGAAGAACCUUACCAGGUCUUGACAUCCCGAUGCCCGCUCUAGAGAUAGAGUUUUUCUUCGGAACAUCGGAGACAGGUGGUGCAUGGUUGUCGUCAGCUCGUGUCGUGAGAUGUUGGGUUAAGUCCCGCAACGAGCGCAACCCUUAUUGUUAGUUGCCAUCAUUGAGUUGGGCACUCUAGCGAGACUGCCGGUAAUAAACCGGAGGAAGGUGGGGAUGACGUCAAAUCAUCAUGCCCCUUAUGACCUGGGCUACACACGUGCUACAAUGGUUGGUACAACGAGUCGCAAGCCGGUGACGGCAAGCUAAUCUCUGAAAGCCAAUCUCAGUUCGGAUUGUAGGCUGCAACUCGCCUACAUGAAGUCGGAAUCGCUAGUAAUCGCGGAUCAGCACGCCGUGGUGAAUACGUUCCCGGGCCUCGUACACACCGCCCGUCACACCACGAGAGUUUGUAACACCCAAAGUCGGUGAGGUAACCAUAUAGGAGCCAG
rnacentral:rRNA from 1 species